rnacentral:rRNA from 1 species
AUGCCCGACCCCGCCAUCGCCCCCUUCCCAGUCAUGGCCGCCCACGCCGUGGUCCUGAGGAAGUCAAAGAAGGUCGCUGCUGCGGAGAGCGUUGCCCUCGCCGCCAAGGCCACGCAACAGGUCCUUCUGUCAGGGUACCAAGAGCCGACGCUUCUCGUCACCACCGCCACCGCCAACAUGGGCUCAUCGGUGGCAAGCCCGCCCAUGCUUCCGGAAUCGUCGCGCCUGUCAAUAAUGCCGCCGGCAUACGGGUGCCUUCCUAGGCACGACCCAGAGGUGUCCUACUUCUCCAUGUCGCCUCGGGACCUCUCACCAAAAAUGCACGACUUCGUGCCGGCUGUCCCAGUGGUGCCUGCCCUUGAUCUCAACGCCACACCGAUGGCCAGCCAAUCCACCAGACGCGAAGGGAGCGCCCAUGGGCGAUCCCCAUUGACAACUUUCCUGACGCCUCCUUCCUAUUCGAUGGUGCCGACACUGGCGCCGGAUAACACGACGUACUACAACAAUUUCAUCGAAGAGAUGAUCUAUGAGGGUGGCCAAGACGACCGCUGCCAAGACACCCAGGGCCACCACGGCCAAGAAACUCGAGACCAAGGCAACCAAGGUAGGAGUCAACAUCGAGGAUGA